GUCUUCCUGGUGUAGUUGGUUAUCACAUCUGUCUAACACACAAGGUCACCAGUUCGAAUCUGGUGGAAGACA
rnacentral:tRNA from 1 species